rnacentral:rRNA from 1 species
AUUGAACGCUGGCGGCAUGCUUUACACAUGCAAGUCGAGCGGCAGCACGGGGGCAACCCUGGUGGCGAGCGGCGAACGGGUGAGUAAUACAUCGGAACAUGCCCAGUCGUGGGGGAUAACACCUCGAAAGAAGUGCUAAUACCGCAUACGUCCUGAGGGGGAAAGCGGGGGAUCGCAAGACCUCGCGCGAUUGGAGUGGCCGAUGUCAGAUUAGCUAGUUGGUGGGGUAAAGGCCUACCAAGGCAACGAUCUGUAGCUGGUCUGAGAGGAUGAUCAGCCACACUGGGACUGAGACACGGCCCAGACUCCUACGGGAGGCAGCAGUGGGGAAUUUUGGACAAUGGGGGCAACCCUGAUCCAGCCAUUCCGCGUGAGUGAAGAAGGCCUUCGGGUUGUAAAGCUCUUUCGGCAGGAACGAAACGGUGUGCUCUAACAUAGCUUGCUAAUGACGGUACCUGAAGAAGAAGCACCGGCUAACUACGUG